ACGCACGCUGGCGGCGUGCUUAACACCUGCAAGUCGAACGGAAAGGCCCUGCUUUUGUGGGGUGCUCGAGUGGCGAACGGGUGAGUAACACGUGAGUAACCUGCCCUUGACUUUGGGAUAACUUCAGGAAACUGGGGCUAAUACCGGAUAGGAGCUCCUGCUGCAUGGUGGGGGUUGGAAAGUUUCGGCGGUUGGGGAUGGACUCGCGGCUUAUCAGCUUGUUGGUGGGGUAGUGGCUUACCAAGGCUUUGACGGGUAGCCGGCCUGAGAGGGUGACCGGCCACAUUGGGACUGAGAUACGGCCCAGACUCCUACGGGAGGCAGCAAUGGGGAAUAUUGCACAAUGGGCGGAAGCCUGAUGCAGCAACGCCGCGUGUGGGAUGACGGCCUUCGGGUUGUAAACCGCUUUCGCCUGUGACGAAGCGUGAGUGACGGUAAUGGGUAAAGAAGCACCGGCUAACUACGUG
rnacentral:rRNA from 1 species